rnacentral:rRNA from 1 species
GACGAACGCUGGCGGCGUGGAUUAGGCAUGCAAGUCGGACGGUAGGGCUUUAUCGUAAGAUAGAGUUUGAGAGUGGCGAACGGGUGAGUAACACGUAGGAAUCUACCCUUAAGACGGGGACAACCCAGGGAAACUUGGGCUAAUACCGGAUGAGAGUGCGAGAGAUUGCAUUUAAAAGGAUGGCGAAAGUUGUCGCUUAGGGAUGAGCCUGCGGUCUAUUAGUUAGUUGGUGAGGUAAGAGCUCACCAAGGCGAUGAUAGAUAGGCGGCCUUAACGGGUGGUCGCCCACACUGGGAUUGAGAUACGGCCCAGACUCCUACGGGAGGCAGCAGUCGAGAAUAGUCUACAAUGGCCGGAAGGCUGAUAGUGCGACGCCGCGUGAACGAGGGAGCCCUUCGGGGUGUAAAGUUCUUUUCUAUACGAGCAGUGCUAUAUAUAAUGGAUAGUAAUAUAUAGAAGGGAUAGUAAGUAUAGGAAUAAAGCAACGGCUAAACUACCGUGCCAGC